rnacentral:rRNA from 1 species
GAUGAACGCUGGCGGCGUGCCUAAUACAUGCAAGUCGAGCGAACAGACGAGGAGCUUGCUCCUUUGACGUUAGCGGCGGACGGGUGAGUAACACGUGGGUAACCUACCUAUAAGACUGGGAUAACUUCGGGAAACCGGAGCUAAUACCGGAUAAUAUUUCGAACCGCAUGGUUCGAUAGUGAAAGAUGGCUCUGCUACCACUUAUAGAUGGACCUGCGCCGUAUUAGCUAGUUGGUAAGGUAACGGCUUACCAAGGCAACGAUACGUAGCCGACCUGAGAGGGUGAUCGGCCACACUGGAACUGAGACACGGUCCAGACUCCUACGGGAGGCAGCAGUAGGGAAUCUUCCGCAAUGGGCGAAAGCCUGACGGAGCAACGCCGCGUGAGUGAUGAAGGUCUUCGGAUCGUAAAACUCUGUUAUUAGGGAAGAACAAACGUGUAAGUAACUGUGCACGUCUUGACGGUACCUAAUCAGAAAGCCACGGCUAACUACGUGCCAGCAGCCGCGGUAAUACGUAGGUGGCAAGCGUUAUCCGGAAUUAUUGGGCGUAAAGCGCGCGUAGGCGGUUUUUUAAGUCUGAUGUGAAAGCCCCACGGCUCAACCGUGGAGGGUCAUUGGAAACUGGAAAACUUGAGUGCAGAAGAGGAAAGUGGAAUUCCAUGUGUAGCGGUGAAAUGCGCAGAGAUAUGGAGGAACACCAGUGGCGAAGGCGACUUUCUGGUCUGUAACUGACGCUGAUGUGCGAAAGCGUGGGGAUCAAACAGGAUUAGAUACCCUGGUAGUCCACGCCGUAAACGAUGAGUGCUAAGUGUUAGGGGGUUUCCGCCCCUUAGUGCUGCAGCUAACGCAUUAAGCACUCCGCCUGGGGAGUACGACCGCAAGGUUGAAACUCAAAGGAAUUGACGGGGACCCGCACAAGCGGUGGAGCAUGUGGUUUAAUUCGAAGCAACGCGAAGAACCUUACCAAAUCUUGACAUCCUUUGACUCUUCUAGAGAUAGAAGUUUCCCCUUCGGGGGACAAAGUGACAGGUGGUGCAUGGUUGUCGUCAGCUCGUGUCGUGAGAUGUUGAGUUAAGUCCCGCAACGAGCGCAACCCUUAAGCUUAGUUGCCAUCAUUAAGUUGGGCACUCUAAGUUGACUGCCGGUGACAAACCGGAGGAAGGUGGGGAUGACGUCAAAUCAUCAUGCCCCUUAUGAUUUGGGCUACACACGUGCUACAAUGGGCAAUACAAAGGGCAGCGAAACCGCGAGGUCAAGCAAAUCCCAUAAAGUUGUUCUCAGUUCGGAUUGUAGUCUGCAACUCGACUACAUGAAGCUGGAAUCGCUAGUAAUCGUAGAUCAGCAUGCUACGGUGAAUACGUUCCCGGGUCU